rnacentral:rRNA from 1 species
UACAGGGGGGGCAAGCGUUGUUCGGAAUUACUGGGCGUAAAGGGCUCGUAGGUGGCCAACUAAGUCAGACGUGAAAUCCCUCAGCUUAACUGGGGAACUGCGUCUGAUACUGGAUGGCUUGAGUUUGGGAGAGGGAUGCGGAAUUCCAGGUGUAGCGGUGAAAUGCGUAGAUAUCUGGAGGAACACCAAUGGCGAAGGCAGCUUGCUGGCAUGUUUCUGACGCUAAGGCACGAAAGCGUGGGUAGCGAACGGG